rnacentral:rRNA from 1 species
UUUUAUGAGAGUUUGAUCCUGGCUCAGGACGAACGCUGGCGGCGUGCCUAAUACAUGCAAGUCGAACGCUUCUUUUUCCACCGGAGCUUGCUCCACCGGAAAAAGAGGAGUGGCGAACGGGUGAGUAACACGUGGGUAACCUGCCCAUCAGAAGGGGAUAACACUUGGAAACAGGUGCUAAUACCGUAUAACAAUCAAAACCGCAUGGUUUUGAUUUGAAAGGCGCUUUCGGGUGUCGCUGAUGGAUGGACCCGCGGUGCAUUAGCUAGUUGGUGAGGUAACGGCUCACCAAGGCCACGAUGCAUAGCCGACCUGAGAGGGUGAUCGGCCACAUUGGGACUGAGACACGGCCCAAACUCCUACGGGAGGCAGCAGUAGGGAAUCUUCGGCAAUGGACGAAAGUCUGACCGAGCAACGCCGCGUGAGUGAAGAAGGUUUUCGGAUCGUAAAACUCUGUUGUUAGAGAAGAACAAGGAUGAGAGUAACUGUUCAUCCCUUGACGGUAUCUAACCAGAAAGCCACGGCUAACUACGUGC